rnacentral:rRNA from 1 species
GACGUAGGGCGCGAGCGUUGUCCGGAUUUACUGGGCGUAAAGAGCUCGUAGGCGGCUUGUCGCGUCGAAUGUGAAAUCUCAGGGCUCAACUCUGACAUUGCAUUCGAUACGGGCAGGCUAGAGUUCGGUAGGGGAGAGUGGAAUUCCUGGUGUAGCGGUGAAAUGCGCAGAUAUCAGGAAGAACACCCGUGGCUAAGGCGGCUCUCUAGUACGGUACUGACGCUGAGACGCGAAAGCGUGGGGAGCGAACAGG